GAGCAAGAAAAUUAACUAAGUAGCAAGACGGACUGCCCGUCAUCUAUCAUCUCAAACUGUACUUCCACUUCCAACUUUAACACACUUCUCUCUCUCAAAUUCUUCUUUCAACCAACUUUCCUAUCCCCAAUUCGUUCGUUCGUUCGUUCAGUCCACACUGGCGGCAGCUUCCAGCUUCAGGCGGGACAGUUGGAGCUCUCGGGUUGAGACGGGCACCAGGGGACCGAGCCUCUGACGCGCGCCACACCGCCCCUCGCAAACACCAACCGCGCCUCCCUCACACCCUCGCCGAACACAACAAUACCCCAACGGCAGCAGUGGUUUUGUCCUUCGUAAGGAGUUGCUGGGUGUGGCCUUCAGUAGGAUAAUGAGGAUGGAAGCUGGCAGUGGUGACCACAUCAAGACGUGGCACCACAACACAAUGAAGGCCCGGAACGUGAACACACGAUGAUCCGCUUUGAGGAGGACAGUGUGGCAUUCUCUUGCCUCACAGCAGACUGCAAGAAACAAGAUCCUUCAACCCCAAUCACAGGAAGAGGCAGGAGGGAUGCGGCAGACAGCAGAUGAUGGCAGGUGACGGCAGCCUCGUGGUCCUCUUCCCUGUUCCUUGGUGGCGCUGCUUCACUCCUUACCGCCUGGUGUCCCCGCUCGGCUCUUUUCACGACUCGCAACGAGGGAGAAAGGUCGAAGUGCGGUGGUCUCGUGGCGGAAGGCUGAAGGAGGCGGUGAAGGAGUGAAGGUGUGAAGUGUGCAGCUUCCACUUCAUCAUCCCAUGAACAGCCCACAGGAAUCUCUACCAGCACCUGGUUAUUAAACAGUGUUGUCACGCCAGGCCCAAUGUACUCCAUUGCAAUCAGGGAGUCAAGCUUCACCAGGAAAAGAGGCAGAGCGUCACCACCUUCAAGCCCCACAAGAGGUAUUAAGUAUCGUUGGGACAAAGCAAUCAGGGAAGAGUCAAGUUGCAGUAAGAAGAGUGCGUCAAGAAUUUCAAGCAGGAAGAACACGUAAAAUUCCCUUCAAGUCAUGGCGGGACCGACAGGCAACCUUCAACACUUGUGGAGGCACGAGAGCUGCAGGCAGUUUCACAAAGAAGAGGUUGCUCCUCACUCAAGUUGAUGCAAGGGCACAAGAAUUGGCAAGUGUUGUUGCUCCCAGGCCCUGCUGCAAGAGUUCUCCAGUCCACUCCAGUCUGGGAAGGAAGAAUGUAGCAAGUCCCUCUCUUCUGUAUUCAACAACCACCACCACCACCUUCAUUCAGGCUUGGGAUAAGUUUUGUACAUUCCAGCACUUCAGUAAUAAGGAAAAAAAGUGCCAUGUUUAUAUUAUUGUUGUGUAUUUAUUCACUUAACAUUCACAUUAAAACAAUAAACAUUCAGUAUACCAUCUUGAACAUAA